rnacentral:lncRNA from 1 species
CUUGACUGUUACAAAAAUUUUGUUUGUAAUUUUUUUAAAAGUUCAAACAAUCCCCAUCAAAAGUUUGGAUGCAUAAAACAAUGAAAAGAGACAGAAGGAAUGGAAACAAUACAAGAAAAGGAAAUGGAUCGUUUAUUCACGCCAACCACCAACCAGCGUAAAAUUUAAAUAAACUAAUGACUAAGAAAUGUGUGUACGUAUUAUAUGUCUUUCUCAUUGAUUGUGUGGGAGAUAUUAAAGUACACAGA